rnacentral:rRNA from 1 species
CCCAGACUCCUACGGGAGGCAGCAGUGAGGAAUAUUGGUCAAUGGCCGAGAGGCUGAACCAGCCGAGUCGCGUGAGGGAUGACGGCCCUACGGGUUGUAAACCUCUUUUGUCGGGGAGCAAAGAGAGUCACGUGUGGCUCAUUGAGGGUACCCGAAGAAAAAGCAUCGGCUAACUCCGUGCCAGCAGCCGCGGUAAUACAGAGGAUGCGAGCGUUAUCCGGAUUUAUUGGGUUUAAAGGGUGCGUAGGCGGAGUGUCAAGUCAGCGGUAAAAUUUCGGGGCUCAACCCCGUCGUGCCGUUGAAACUGACGCCCUUGAGUGAGUGAGAAGUAAGCGGAAUGCGUGGUGUAGCGGUGAAAUGCAUAGAUAUCACGCAGAACGCCGAUUGCGAAGGCAGCUUACCGGCGCUCAACUGACGCUGAGGCACGAAAGCGUGGGUAUCGAACAGGAUUAGAUACCCUGGUAAU